CAGUAGCCACGGGAAUACGAAGGGUGCAAGCGUUAAUCGGAAUUACUGGGCGUAAAGGGUGCGUAGGCGGUUGUUUAAGUCUGUUGUGAAAUCCCCGGGCUCAACCUGGGAAUGGCAAUGGAAACUGGACGGCUAGAGUGUGUCAGAGGAUGGUGGAAUUCCCGGUGUAGCGGUGAAAUGCGUAGAGAUCGGGAGGAACAUCAGUGGCGAAGGCGACUAUCUGGGCCAACACUGACACUGAGGCACGAAAGCGUGGGGAGCAAACAGGAUUAGAUACCCCGGUAGUCCCUGUCUCUUAUAC
rnacentral:rRNA from 1 species